rnacentral:rRNA from 1 species
GGACGGGGGAGUAACACGUGGGUAACCUGCCCUUAAGUGGGGGAUAACAUUUGGAAACAGAUGCUAAUACCGCAUAGAUCCAAGAACCGCAUGGUUCUUGGCUGAAAGAUGGCGUAAGCUAUCGCUUUUGGAUGGACCCGCGGCGUAUUAGCUAGUUGGUGAGGUAAUGGCUCACCAAGGCGAUGAUACGUAGCCGAACUGAGAGGUUGAUCGGCCACAUUGGGACUGAGACACGGCCCAAACUCCUACGGGAGGCAGCAGUAGGGAAUCUUCCACAAUGGACGCAAGUCUGAUGGAGCAACGCCGCGUGAGUGAAGAAGGCUUUCGGGUCGUAAAACUCUGUUGUUGGAGAAGAAUGGUCGGCAGAGUAACUGUUGUCGGCGUGACGGUAUCCAACCAGAAAGCCACGGCUAACUACGUGCCAGCAGCCGCGGUAAUACGUAGGUGGCAAGCGUUAUCCGGAUUUAUUGGGCGUAAAGCGAGCGCAGGCGGUUUUUUAAGUCUGAUGUGAAAGCCCUCGGCUUAACCGAGGAAGCGCAUCGGAAACUGGGAAACUUGAGUGCAGAAGAGGACAGUGGAACUCCAUGUGUAGCGGUGAAAUGCGUAGAUAUAUGGAAGAACACCAGUGGCGAAGGCGGCUGUCUGGUCUGUAACUGACGCUGAGGCUCGAAAGCAUGGGUAGCGAACAGGAUUAGAUACCCUGGUAGUCCAUGCCGUAAACGAUGAAUGCUAGGUGUUGGAGGGUUUCCGCCCUUCAGUGCCGCAGCUAACGCAUUAAGCAUUCCGCCUGGGGAGUACGACCGCAAGGUUGAAACUCAAAGGAAU